CUUACACAUGCAGUCGAGCGGGGAAGGUAGCUUGCUACCUAACCUAGCGGCGGACGGGUGAGUAAUGCUUAGGAAUCUGCCUAUUAGUGGGGGACAACAUUCCGAAAGGAAUGCUAAUACCGCAUACGCCCUACGGGGGAAAGCAGGGGAUCUUCGGACCUUGCGCUAAUAGAUGAGCCUAAGUCAGAUUAGCUAGUUGGUGGGGUAAAGGCCUACCAAGGCGACGAUCUGUAGCGGGUCUGAGAGGAUGAUCCGCCACACUGGGACUGAGACACGGCCCAGACUCCUACGGGAGGCAGCAGUGGGGAAUAUUGGACAAUGGGCGAAAGCCUGAUCCAGCCAUGCCGCGUGUGUGAAGAAGGCCUUUUGGUUGUAAAGCACUUUAAGCGAGGAGGAGGCUACUUAGAUUAAUACUCUAGGAUAGUGGACGUUACUCGCAGAAUAAGCACCGGCUAACUCUGUGCCAGCAGCCGCGGUAAUACAGAGGGUGCGAGCGUUAAUCGGAUUUACUGGGCGUAAAGCGUGCGUAGGCGGCUUUUUAAGUCGGAUGUGAAAUCCCUGAGCUUAACUUAGGAAUUGCAUUCGAUACUGGGAAGCUAGAGUAUGGGAGAGGAUGGUAGAAUUCCAGGUGUAGCGGUGAAAUGCGUAGAGAUCUGGAGGAAUACCGAUGGCGAAGGCAGCCAUCUGGCCUAAUACUGACGCUGAGGUACGAAAGCAUGGGGAGCAAACAGGAUUAGAUACCCUGGUAGUCCAUGCCGUAAACGAUGUCUACUAGCCGUUGGGGCCCUUUGAGGCUUUAGUGGCGCAGCUAACGCGAUAAGUAGACCGCCUGGGGGAGUACGGUCGCAAGACUAAAACUCAAAUGAAUUGACGGG
rnacentral:rRNA from 1 species